rnacentral:rRNA from 1 species
CGACAUUGUGUUGUUUUGUGCGGUAAAGCGAAUGAUUAGCGCACUCGGGGGCAGUUAGCCUUCGGGCGAUUCUCAAACUUUCAAUGCGCAAGAGGUGCCGCUGCUUUGUUGAGCGGCACCGGCAAAAACGUCGGCCCUGUGGGCCACUUUUGGUAAGCAGAACUGGCGAUACGGGAUGAACCGUAAGCGCGGUUAAGGCGCCGGACUGCCCGCUUAUAGAUCCCACAAAAGGUGUUGGUUCAUCGAGACAGCAGGACGGUGGCCAUGGAAGUCGGAAUCCGCCAAGGAGUGUGUAACAACUCACCUGCCGAAUGAACUAGCCCUGAAAAUGGAUGGCGCUUAAGCGGGCGGCCGACACCGCGCCGUCUGGUAAAGAAUUACGAUCAGAUGAGUAGGAGGGCGUGGCGGCUGUGUCGAAGCGUGCGUGCAGACGCGCGUGGAACAGCCGCUAGUGCAGAUCUUGGUGGUAGUAGCAAGUAUUCAAGCGAGAUCCUUGAAGGGCGAAGCGGGGAAGGGUUCCACGCGAACAGUGCUUGGGCGUGGGUGAGUCGUUCCUAAGCCGAGUGGCAAUUGCUAAGUAGCGGCGAAAGGGAAGCGGGUUGACAUUCCCGCACACGGAUGUGAGCGGUGACGCGUAUUGGGGCGAACACGCUGGCGAUGGCGCUGGGCAGAGUUGUCUUUUCUGUUUGACCUACCAGCACGCGGUGUGGAAUCCGCUUGUCGGGAGAAACACGCGUGUCGGGGCAGAGCGCCGGGGCUUUUCCGGCGUCCAGCUCGCCAUCGACGGCCCUUGAAACUUUGCCUGCUGAUUUAAGAUCCACGCCGUGGCGUACCGAUCACCGCAUCAGGUCCCCAAGGUGAACAGCCUCUGCUCAAUAUGAACAAUGCAGGUAAGGGAAGUCGGCAAAUUAGACCCGUAACUUUGGGAUAAGGGUUGGCUCUAGUGCUGCGUGGGAGUGGUUG